UCCAUAACCGAUAAACAGGUGAUGAAGACGUCUGUACUACACCUGUACCUGAGUUAAGAUCACCAUCCAUAACCGAUAAACCAGGUGAUGAAGACGUCUGUACUACACCUGUACCUGAGUUAAGAUCACCAUCCAUAACCGAUAAAUCAGGUGAUGAAGACGUCUGUACCACACCUGUACCUGAGUUAAGAUCACCAUCCAUAACCGAUAAAUCAGGUGAUGAAGACGUCUGUACUACACCUGUACCUGAGUUAAGAUCACCAUCCAUAACCGAUAAACCAACUGUCAGCGAUGAAGGUAACUCUGUCACACCUGUGUGUGAUAGACCGCCAUCCAUCGCUGAUGAAGACGAUGAUGACUACUCACCCAAGUUUGAGUUGGUAGCACCCAGAGUCACUGAUGAGCCAGCUCUCAGUGACAGCACCCGAACAACUGAACCAACUGCAGAGCUGUACCAUGUGCUCAUGUGUACCGCAGUGGUACACGAGUGUCUGAAGAACACACAGAUUUCAGUGUCUAAUGAUGAAAGGAAGAAGAUCAUUUUAACUCUGAAAGACAUGCUGUGCACAGGCGAUAUAGACUUUAAAUCUAUCCAGCUAACAGGACACCAGAUAAAGAAGACAGCCAGGGCCGUGCACAAGGAUCUGUGUGCAAACAUGGGCAGCAAAGGCAUGGUGGUGGUUAACCUGCUGUUAGAGAACUCAGACAUUUACAAAGAUGUAAUUGAGACUCUGAAAAGACAGCUGGUAAAGCCCAAAAAGAACAACAUCAAGACGUUCUUCAUCUCACUUUUCCACACAGUGAGCAAGCCAUUCCAACGCUGCCCAUGCAGCGUAUGUGACUAAAAACAGCUGCAAGUCCGCCUUCGUAUUCAACACGUUGGCUCUUGCAACUGUAAGGUCACUGUGUUGCCGUGGUUUCCUCCGAGUGCUUCGGUUUCUCCACUUAAAAAAAAAACAUCAAAGUAACAUCAAAGUAACAUCAGAGUAACAUCUUUCCAGUGAUGAGUUCAGGGUUCAGUUCUGGACCUUGACCUCGUUGCUGUGAGGAGUUUACAGUGUUCACGGUGUUGCUGUGGUUUCCUCCGAGUGCUUCGGUUUCUCCACUUAAAAAAAAAACAUCAAAGUAACAUCAGAGUACCAUCUUCCCAGCGAUGAGUUCAGGGUUCAGUUCUGGACCUUGACCUUGUUGCUGUGAGGAGUUUACAGUGUUCACGGUGUUGCUGUGGUUUCCUCCGAGUGCUUCGGUUUCUCCACUU